rnacentral:misc_RNA from 1 species
CCAAUAGCGUAUAUUAAAGUUGUUGCAGUUAAAAAGCUCGUAGUUGAACUUCGGGGUUUACCCAUUGGUCAGGCUUAAUUGUCUGUACUGGUGAGAUGAAUCUCUACCUUCUGAGGAACUUUCAUGCCAUUUAUUUGGUGUGAUGGGAAAUCAGGACUGUUACUUUGAAAAAAUUAGAGUGUUUAAAGCAGGCUAACGUCUGAAUACAUUAGCAUGGAAUAAUGAAAUAGGACGGACUGAUUCUAUUUCGUUGGUUUCUAGGAUCACCGUAAUGAUUAAUAGGGAUAGUUGGGGGCAUUAGGAUUCAAUUGUCAGAGGUGAAAUUCUUGGAUUUAUUGAAGACUAACUACUGCGAAAGCAUUUGCCAAGGAUGUUUUCAGUAAUCAAGAACGAAAGUUAGGGGAUCGAAGACGAUCAGAUACCGUCGUAGUCUUAACCAUAAACUAUGCCGACUAGGGAUCGGACGAAGUUAAUUUUAUAAUGACGCGUUCGGCACCUUACG